AUACCUCAGAAUUCAGACAAUCCUAUGCAAAGUGGAAUGUGUGAAGUGAAUAACAGAGUAAUAGGAUGCAGACAGCAUUAACCUCCACUUGAGAGGCUGGGGAAAGUGUCAUGUUGGACAAGACAGCUGAGUUUGUCCUUGACCCCUGGGUGGCUGCCUCUUGCAGUUCCUGGCAUAGGUUAGUGGCUAGGAGCCAAACUGUCCAGGCUGAAAUCUUGCCUCUCUCCUCACUGCCUGUGUAACUGUGGGCAAGGCGCUUGACCUCUGAGCCUCCAUUUCUCCUCUGUAAGAACGAAGGAGUAACAGCGCCUAGCUCGUGGAGGGUGGGGAGGGCUGCCCGAAACACACACACAGAGCUCAGAAUGCAUGCGGCCCUGAGGACGUGCGGAUAAAUGGCUACUUUGCUAUCACCCACAGGUAGAAGAUGCUUAAUAUGCAUUCGUUGACUGGGCAUGAAAGUGGAGAACCUGGCUAGCCAUCGGGUGGGAGUGAAUGGAAUAUUUAACUUGGGGUUGAGUUGGGCCUACAGAGAAGAGAGGUUGGGUGCAUCGCGUGGAGCUGGGGAGAAAGGCUGUGGCUGGAGGGUUAUUCUUGAGGACGGGACAGUGUGAACCUCGAGGAUUCAGGUGGCCAAGUCAAGUCAGGUGAGAAGAGGAUGCAAGACGGGGCGACAGUCUCUACUCUUCUGGGAGUUAAGAAGGUCCUGCAAGAGCUGAUACUGCCCAGAGUCUUCAAGGGCAGGGUGUCAGGCAUCCAGGGAAAGAGAAGACACUUCUACCGACUGGCGAGCCCACACUGCCACAGUGGAGAGCCAAGAGGGCCUUCGAGACUCAAACGGAGAGGCAAACGUGGAUCCCUUACCUUCUCACUGGAGAAUCCAAAGGCUUCGCUACAGCAGAGAAGCCCUGUGCGUGGCUGGGCUGAGCUUUGGCGCCACGGUCCCAUGUUGAAGCCUGGAGUGGCCACAGGGCACUUCUGAUCUCCUCAUAGGCCUCAGUUUCCUCAUCAGUGAAACCAGGGUGGAGAAGAAUGGUGUUACCUGCAGAGAUGUUGGGCUCAGAGAUGAGCAAGAUCAUGGAAGCAGAGCAUUAGCCCCUAGGAUGUUUGGUGCGUGUUUGCUGCUGUUACAAUGGCUGCGGGUAGGUGAACCCAUUUGUGUAAAGUUCAGCUGGAAUUGACAAACUCUGUUUUUGUCAUGAUCAGCAAUCCUGCUCCAAAACACAUGGCUCCCACCUGGGUACCUCCCCUCCCUUCCUCUGGCACUGAGGGCUGCCAAGGUCAGGGGUUUCAGAAGGUGGCAGUGAGAAUCAGCAGAGCCUCCACUGCUGUCAGCCAGCACUGCCCUGCAUCCAAACGACACAAGCAGUGGUAAGGCCUCCUGGGUGGGUCAGCUGGCAAGGAGCCCUGCCCUUGCUGUGGGCUCUGGGGGCGGCCACAGCCACUCUACAGCAGCCACAUGCAGGCAUCCUCUGGCUGUGGAGCAGCCGCUGGCCCAUGGCCGAAUGUGCACUCGGCUGUGUCUCAGGGGACAGCCUGGCCAGGCGGAGUCCAGGUCAGUGGAGGAGACAGGCUUCUGUCACCCAGCCCAGGCCCAGGGAGAGUAAGGCAUGGACAGGUGGCUAGCAGCCCCUACAGCAAGCAGCCAGGAUGGUCCCCCUGUGCACAGGAGUAGCCUCUCUGAGGUCAGUUCUAAGCCACACAUUCCCAAAAACAAGGCUGAAGGAGCCCCUCUGGGAGGUGGAGGCUCUCCCCUUAUACCUAGGGGUCCUGGGCCCACCCUAUCCCAUCUGUGCCUGGCAUCUUCCCCUCCUUGGAAGCUGCUAUUCCCUGAUUUGUCUCCCUUUGCCCUGGUGGCUCCUUUAGAGCUGGGUCACCUUUAUUUUUGUAUCCACAAGGCCUGGCACAGGUAGGGGUUAAUAAGUCCACCUGGCUGUCCACCAGUGCCUUGGGCAGUGCUGGCCCAGGAUGAUCGCACCUCGCUGAGACCCUCCCGACAGCUCUGGGGCCCGACAGCUCAGCAAGUGUGCUUCAGGCUCUGCCCAGGGCCACGGUCGGGCUCAGGAUGCAAAGACUCAGGAAGCCUCAGGAAGCCUCAGGAAGCCCCAGACUCGCAGCAAGGUGCGAGGUGAAAACACCUUAGGUUUCCACAGGGCCUUCAUCCCAAAGACUGCCCUCGCAUAAACUCUCCCACAUUCAGCACCCAGGGGAUGCUGCCAGAUCAGUCAUUCUCACCUCCACUGCAGGCCAAGGGCCCAGAGCUGCUGGACCAUGGGUCAGAGGCAAGCAGCACCUGGAAGCCACACCCCUCUCUCCUCCCCAGCACACCCCCAGCUACGACACAGUGCCCCGCAUGCCCCGAAAACCUGAUGGAGCUUUUCAAAUGCCUGAAAGGCUCACCUUGCUCCCAGGGGAAAACUGUGAGCCAGGUACACUCUGGCAGGGAGAAAAUAAAUCCUUCUGAACUUUGGUGCCCUUAUUUGUUGAUCACAACUCUCAUGUAUGCCUGUGGGUUUAAAUGAUGCCACUGUAAAAACCCAUUGCAUAUUUACUGAUUGGCGUGGGAGGCACCGCGCAGGGAGGCCUGGCUCCUGGAGGCUGACUGUGGAAUUACUGUGGAAGGAACUGGAGUUAAUAGUUCUUACCUGUGACUUUUAAACAAAGGCCAUCAGAGAAAGGGGAGAAAGGGAAGAAAGAGAUUUCAUGGAAUAAAGAAGCAAUACUAUUUUCCAAGUCAUGCUGUUAGCUAAGAAAAUUCUG
rnacentral:lncRNA from 1 species